AGAGUUUGUAAUCCUUGGCGUCAGGAAUGAACGACUGACAGAAUAGCUUAACACAUGCAAGUCAACUUGUAAUUGGUUUUUAACGUUUAGUAUUUGGGUGGCGGACGGGUGAGUAACGCGUAAGAACUUGCCUCACAGCUAGGACAACAUUUAGAAAUGAAUGCUAAUACCUGAUAUUAUUGAUUUUAAGGUCAUCUUAGAAUUAUGAAAGCUAUAUGCACUGUGAGAGAGCUUUGCGUUCCAUUAGCUAGUUGGAGAGGUAACAGCUCACCAAGGCGAUGAUGGGUAGCCGGCCUGAGAGGGUGAACGGCCACAAGGGGACUGAGACACGGCCCUUACUCCUACGGGAGGCAGCAGUGGGGAAUAUUGGACAAUGGACCGAGAGUCUGAUCCAGCAAUUCUGUGUGCACGAUGAAGUUUUUCGGAAUGUAAAGUGCUUUCAGUUGGGAAGAAAAAAAAUGACGGUACCAACAGAAGAAGUGACGGCUAAAUACGUG
rnacentral:rRNA from 1 species